UGUUGGUCCCCCCGCGACGAUACUUCGCAAAUCCCGCCAGGUCCGGAAGGAAGCAACGGUAGUGGAGGAUUCGGGUGCCGGGGUGUGGCUGGCAGGG
rnacentral:SRP_RNA from 2 species